UGUCUUCCCACAAUUUCCAUGUCUGACCACCGCUACUACUAUGUCCUAUCAUAACAUUCCAUACAUAUUUAAAACCAAGCAAAGGGUGAGUUCCAUCUUUAAAAACUAAACAGGCAUUUUGGACAACACAUUCUUGGCAAUGGAACCUGGACAACAUUUAUCAAACACGGUAGGGAAAGUUCUCACUCUGCAUUAUAAAAAGGACAGCCAUAUAUCAACUGUUACAGAAAUGAAAUAUGAUGGAAAAUUUUU
rnacentral:lncRNA from 1 species